rnacentral:rRNA from 1 species
ACUCCUACGGGAGGCAGCAGUGAGGAAUAUUGGUCAAUGGAGGGAACUCUGAACCAGCCAUCCCGCGUGUAGGAAGACGGCCUUAUGGGUUGUAAACUACUUUUAUACAGGAAGAAACGUACCCUCGUGAGGGUGCCUGACGGUACUGUAGGAAUAAGCACCGGCUAACUCCGUGCCAGCAGCCGCGGUAAUACGGAGGGUGCGAGCGUUAUCCGGAUUUAUUGGGUUUAAAGGGUCCGUAGGCGGAUUAAUAAGUCAGUGGUGAAAUCCCAUCGCUUAACGAUGGAACUGCCAUUGAUACUGUUAGUCUUGAAUGAGGGUGCAGUGGUUGGAAUGUGUAGUGUAGC